CACAUGCAAGUCGAACGGCAGCGCGGGGCAACCUGGCGGCGAGUGGCGAACGGGUGAGUAAUAUAUCGGAACGUACCCUGGAGUGGGGGAUAACGUAGCGAAAGUUACGCUAAUACCGCAUACGAUCUAAGGAUGAAAGUGGGGGAUCGCAAGACCUCAUGCUCCUGGAGCGGCCGAUAUCUGAUUAGCUAGUUGGUGGGGUAAAGGCCCACCAAGGCAUCGAUCAGUAGCUGGUCUGAGAGGACGACCAGCCACACUGGAACUGAGACACGGUCCAGACUCCUACGGGAGGCAGCAGUGGGGAAUUUUGGACAAUGGGCGCAAGCCUGAUCCAGCAAUGCCGCGUGAGUGAAGAAGGCCUUCGGGUUGUAAAGCUCUUUUGUCAGGGAAGAAACGGUGGGGGCUAAUAUCCCCUGCUAUGACGGUACCUGAAGAAUAAGCACCGGCUAACUACGUGCCAGCAGCCGCGGUAAUACGUAGGGUGCAAGCGUUAAUCGGAAUUACUGGGCGUAAAGCGUGCGCAGGCGGUUUUGUAAGACUGUCGUGAAAUCCCCGGGCUCAACCUGGGAAUGGCGAUGGUGACUGCAAGGC
rnacentral:rRNA from 1 species